GGAGUCUGGACCGUGUCUCAGUUCCAGUGUGGGGGACCUUCCUCUCAGAACCCCUAUCCAUCGCCGGCCAGGUGGGCCGUUACCCCGCCUGCUGCCUAAUGGAACGCAUCCCCAUCCCAUAGCGGUGAACCUUUGUUCCAAAUUAGAUGCCUGCUUCGGAAAACAUAGGGUAUUAAUCCGCAUUUCUACGGGCUAUGCCCUACUAUGGGGAAGGUUGGAUACGCGUUACUCACCCGUGCGCCGGUCGCCAUCGACAAUAGCAAGCUAUCGUCAUGCUGCCCCUCGACUUGCAUGUGUUAAGCCUGUAGCUAGCGUUCAUC
rnacentral:rRNA from 1 species